rnacentral:rRNA from 1 species
ACGAACGCUGGCGGCAGGCCUAACACAUGCAAGUCGAGCGCGCCCUUCGGGGUGAGCGGCGGACGGGUGAGUAACGCGUGGGAACGUGCCCUUCUCUGCGGAAUAGCCUCGGGAAACUGAGAGUAAUACCGCAUACGCCCUUUGGGGGAAAGAUUUAUCGGAGAAGGAUCGGCCCGCGUUGGAUUAGGUAGUUGGUGGGGUAAUGGCCCACCAAGCCGACGAUCCAUAGCUGGUUUGAGAGGAUGAUCAGCCACACUGGGACUGAGACACGGCCCAGCCUCCUACGGGAGGCAGCAGUGGGGAAUCUUAGACAAUGGGGGCAACCCUGAUCUAGCCAUGCCGCGUGAGUGAUGAAGGCCUUAGGGUUGUAAAGCUCUUUCAGCUGGGAAGAUAAUGACGGUACCAGCAGAAGAAGCCCCGGCUAACUCCGUG